UUUGCUAACGUGCCCCCAGGGCUGAGCACAGGCAAUGCAGACAUACGUGACAGGCUUUUCCAAGCCACCUGACCCAUGUCGGCAAGAUGAAGUUAAAAACUGGACCCUUGGGGACUUAACUGCAAGCCAGUGAGUGUCAGGCUUUCCGUGCGGGAUUGCUCGGAGCUCCCAGGAAUGUUUGUGCUGGGAACUCUGCUCUUAAAGAUCCAGGUUCCCUUUCACUGCCUGGCCCAAGGGACAUUAGCCUCCAGCAGAUCCAGGAGAAGAGCUGCCAGCAUCAUUGUCAAGCUGUGGGAAUUUUGGGGAGAAAGUUCUCCAGACCGCAACUCGGGCACUCGCGCUGUCCCUCUCAGCACGCCUGACGUCCAGCAGCAGGGACGUGGCCGGGGACGUGGCCGAGGGCACCGAUGAGGAGGAAGAGGAUAGGAGAUCAAGAAAGGCGGACCCAGGAACGCCUACUUGUGCUGGUAGGCAGAGAAGGGGUGACACCGAGGGGGCCCCGGUGUGGCACUGGGCACCACGCGAGCGCUGCGGGCAUGAGGAGUCGGAGCCCCGGCUUCCCGCACGAGCCAGCCGCGAGAGCAGCCUGCGCCUCCUCGCCGAAGGCCUCUAGACACCAGGGGCAAAACAGGCAAUACGGCUCAGCGGAAGAAAGGAUGAGGAACGGCGACGGCUCUUCGGCUGCCCGACAGCUGGGGUUUGCAGCUUCGGCUCUGCAAGAAGUGCCUAAGCGAGGGCUGCCCCCACUCCCACCACCUGGUCUUGAUACCUGACCAUUUUGCAUCCUCAUCCUCAAAAAAUAGUCCAGUGCCUUCUAAAAUCAGUACGCAAUAUAUCCCCAGAGCACCUCUGAAGACCCAGGGCUUUAAUCAUUUCUCCCUUCAUUUCACUGCACCCUCUAGAAAUUGGGUAUACUCCUUUUCACUGGCUUUUUGGGAAGGUAAAUACUCCCAAGAGGAACCAGUUAUUGGUUACCACCACGUUACAGCAUAGCUGCCUAAGGGAGGUGUGGCGGUGUAAGAUGCAGCGGGGCAUCGGCCUUGCUCGCCGGACCCCGAGGCGGAUUCGUUCCCAGCCGUCGGUCAGACGUGCCCCGCGGCCGCCUUCUCGCGCGGGAGCCGGUGCUGAAAGCGCGUUGCAGACGUCCACAGCCGUGCCCGGGAGCGAACCAGACGGUGCACGGGGUAACAUGCAGUCUCCAGGAAACAUUGUAUAGUUGUGUCGAAUUUCACCACAUUUCCCCCGUUAUUGGCGGCGGCUCCGUAACAGCGCAGUUCAUUUCCCCAUCCAGGGAAGGAAAGCGCCUUUUUGUAAGGCCUCGUUUGAAAAUAAAGACGCUAUUGAUGCAAAACUUGGCGUGCGACAUCCUUUUAGAAUUAAUCAGCCAAUAAUUCAUCUUUCAUCUGAAAAGAAAUGUGUACUUUUGACAGACAAAUAUAAAAAAUACCUUGUGACCUCGGCACAGAUAAUUCUACCAAUUUAUGUAUGUCCUACGUACGCAAAGAAGAUUUGGAAGUCAACAGUCUCUGUCACUAUCGGGUGCAUAAAUGGCAAGGUAUUCAAGCCUAUAUCCACACACAAAAAAAGACUAGCAAGGAAUUUUAAAAAGAAAAUAUUUCCGGACAAUCAACAGGUGUACUGACGAAAGGAGAGGCGUAUAUGUGCAUGCUACUGUGGGGAAAAAAUGAAAGUUCGUUUGGCCCUCUAAAAUUCCUCCGUUGCGCUCACAUUUGGGACAGUAGAGAAGUACUUACUAAACACUUGCAACAUUUUGGGGACUGGGAUAUAGAGCAAGGUGAAAAGCAUCUCAAAGGGAAAUAUUCCUGAAAUUGCCUAAAUAGAGAAUAUCUUGGCUUUAUAACUCUUAUGUUCUCUGUGAAGUGAUAUAAUUUAUAUUAAUGAAAAUUACACACACACGCACACAUAUUAGCUCAGGAAAGAAAAAAAAUCUCUGUGCAUGUGCCUAAAUUCAGCAGCAAUAACCAUUCAUUAGCAGCUGCUCUUUACUUUCCGGUAACCUCCAGGGUAUACCCUUAGCAGGGUUAAAUUGUCGUAAUUCCACCGGAGGUCGCAGAGCAAUGCUCCUGCCGCUCGCCUGGCG